GCUUCCUCCCAGGACGUCGGUGCCAUCGCAGGGUUUGGGGUGGAGGGUGGGCAGUGGAUAGUGUCCCUACCCCGAGGGCGAGGGUGCUCUGGAGCAAAAGGGAGGCCCUGCCCUCAGCCAUCUGACCGCCAGGCCUGCCGAACACCCGGCAGCCUGUGAUAUGCGGAGCCAUGCAGAGCUAUAUUGAAAACAGAUGGCCAUGAACUAUGCAUCCAGGUUACCGUAUUACCCAGGGGAAAGCUGCAUGCGCUCUAACCAGACCAGCAAGAGAAGUGAUCAACAGACACACCAUAUGCAAAUGCGGACUGGGAGCCUCCUAUCCACCAGUGCCAGCCUUGCAAGACCUGGUGCUGUGCUGCUGGCCGGACCAGCUGUGAGGAGCGUGCCAGCCCCCAAGACCAUCAGUGGAGCCUUACACUUGUACCCAGGCCGUCCCAGUUGAGGAACACAAGCAACUUACCUGUGUCUGAAGCCGAGCCCAGUAGCCAUGGAGCUCCAGGGA
ensembl:lncRNA